rfam:TPA: Bos taurus chromosome 15, whole genome shotgun sequence.
UCCCUGGUGGCUUAGAGGGUAAAGCAUCCGCCUGCAAGGCGGGAGACCUCGGUUCAAUCCCUGGGUCGGGAA